UACGAAGGGGGCUAGCGUUGCUCGGAAUUACUGGGCGUAAAGCGUGCGUAGGUGGUUCGUUAAGUCUGUCGUGAAAGCCCCGGGCUCAACCUGGGAAUGGCGAUGGAUACUGGCGGGCUAGAGUGCGGUAGAGGAGAGUGGAAUUCCCGGUGUAGCAGUGAAAUGCGUAGAGAUCGGGAGGAACAUCAGUUGCGAAGGCGGCUCUCUGGACCAGCACUGACACUGAGGCACGAAAGCGUGGGGAGCAAACAGG
rnacentral:rRNA from 1 species